AUGCUCAGACUCCUACAAGUGACAGUGCCCAAGGCUGUGAUAUCAUCUUUCACCAGUCCUAAAGGUGAGACCCUGAAGGGCCUGAUGCUCAGCCCUGGGGACAUCUUCCCCCCGGGCCACCUUCUCCUCAGUCACCAACUGAGCCCAGGCUGGGCUGAGUCCACGGCACCAGCACCUCAGGUAUCGACCCCACGAAAGGUCCCUGCGGCUGUCACUGUGUCUCCAUCUUUUCAAAGAUCCGAAUUCUCAAAAGGUACAAGGACUAAACCCUGGAAGUCCCAGUGCUAAGUGACCUGAUCAGACCACACACCUGAGCCGGCACAUUUCUGGCACUGUGUCACAGAGACCUGGGAGUCCUAAACUUUACUGCAUAGGAAUCAUCAGGACAUUUUGUUAAAAUUCAGAGGUCUGCAGUAGAGCGUGGAGUUCUGUGUUGUAACAAGGUUGGUGCUGAUGAUGCUGGUCUCCGGUUCACACUUUUAUUUUUUUUUGGGGGGGGAGCAACCUCAGCAUAUGGAAGUUCCCAGGCUAGGGGUUGGGAUCCGAGCCAUGUCUACAACCUACACCACGGUUCACGGCAACGCUGGAUCGUUAAUCCACUGAGCAAGGACAGGGACCGAACCCGCAACCUCAUGGUUCCUAGUCGGAUUCGUUAACCCCUGCACCUCGAUGGGAACUCCAAGAAAUUGUUAAUUGUGGUUUCUGGGCAGAUGACCUGGGUGCCUGGGGUAUGGGAAAUGUGACGUUAUGUAUGUGUGUGUGUGGAUCACACUUUUUUUUGGCGGGGGGGAGCAACUGCAGCAUAUGGAAGUUCCCAGGCUAGGGGUCGAAUCAGAGCUACAGCUGCCGGCCUGCACCACAACCACAGCAACACGGGAUCUGAGUCUCACAGCAAUGCCAGAUCCUUAACCCACUGAGCCGGGCCAAAGAUUGAACCCACAUCCUCGUGUAUACUAGUUGGGUUUGUUACUACUGAGCCACAACUGGGAAGUCCCAAUCCAGAUCACACUUUGAGUAGCAAGACUGGAGACCAGGAUUCCCACGUGGCUGUGCAUCAGGCUCACCUGUCAGGCUUGUGGAAUAAGGAAUUCUUGGGCUCCGUGCCCAACAUUCUGGGUCUGGGGAGAGACCUGAGUAUCUUGCAGCAGUCCCUACAAGCAGUCCUGGGCGGGGCUCAGCCAGAUUGGGAACCAAUGAGGUCAGUGAUCAGAGAGCGCCCAGGGUGGGGAGGGGUCUUCAAUCCACAAUUACGUGUUGUGUGUUCCUGGGAAGAAAAGGGCAAGACAUC
rnacentral:lncRNA from 1 species